AGGACGAACGCUGGCGGCGUGCUUAACACAUGCAAGUCGAGCGGUAAGGCCUCCUUCGGGGGUACACGAGCGGCGAACGGGUGAGUAACACGUGGGUGACCUGCCCUCAGCUCUGGGAUAAGCCUGGGAAACUGGGUCUAAUACCGGAUAUGACCUGCUGUCGCAUGAUGGUGGGUGGAAAGUUUGUUCUUAAUUGGACACUUCGGUGGGGGAUGGGCCCGCGGCCUAUCAGCUUGUUGGUGGGGUGAUGGCCUACCAAGGCGACGACGGGUA
rnacentral:rRNA from 1 species